AGUAACACGUAAACAACCUGCCUUCAGACGGGGACGAACAGACGGAAACGACUGCUAAUACCGAAUAAGUUCCAAGGGCCGCAUGGCCCAUGGAAGAAAAGGUGGCCUCUACCUGUAAGCUAUCGCCUGAAGAGGGGUUUGCGUCUGAUUAGCUGGUUGGAGGGGUAACGGCCCACCAAGGCGACGAUCAGUAGCCGGUCUGAGAGGAUGAACGGCCACACUGGAACUGAGACACGGUCCAG
rnacentral:rRNA from 1 species